rnacentral:rRNA from 1 species
AGUGAACGCUGGCGGUAGGCCUAACACAUGCAAGUCGAACGGCAGCACAGUAAGAGCUUGCUCUUACGGGUGGCGAGUGGCGGACGGGUGAGGAAUACAUCGGAAUCUACUUUUUCGGGGGGGAUAACGUAGGGAAACUUACGCUAAUACCGCAUACGACCUACGGGGGAAAGCAGGGGAUCUUCGGACCUUGCGCGAUUGAAUGAGCCGAUGUCGGAUUAGCUAGUUGGCGGGGUAAAGGCGCACCAAGGCGACGAUCCGUAGCUGGUCUGAGAGGAUGAUCAGCCCCACUGGAACUGACACACGGACCAGACUCCUAAGGCAGGCAGCAGUGGGGAAUAUUGGACAAUGGGCGCAAGCCUGACCCAGCCACCCCGCGUGGGUGAAGAAGGCCUUGUGGUUGUAAAGCGCUUUUGUUGGGAAAGAAAAGCAGCAGGUUAAUACCGCGCUGUUCUGACGGUACCCAAAGAAUAAGCACCGGCUAACUUCGUG